rnacentral:rRNA from 1 species
UACGAAGGGGGCUAGCGUUGUUCGGAAUUACUGGGCGUAAAGCGCGCGUAGGCGGACAUUUAAGUCAGGGGUGAAAUCCCAGGGCUCAACCCUGGAACUGCCUUUGAUACUGAAUGUCUGGAGUUCGGGAGAGGUGAGUGGAAUUCCGAGUGUAGAGGUGAAAUUCGUAGAUAUUCGGAGGAACACCAGAAGCGAAGGCGGCUCACUGGCCCGAUACUGACGCUGAGGCGCGAAAGCGUGGGGAGCAAACAGG